AGUGUUAAAUAGUUUAUUGAUAUCACUUAAAUUCUGUUCUCUCUCUCUCUCUUUCUUUUGAUUUUUGACAGAGAAUCACACUCAGUGUGGAGCCCCACAUGGGGCCGCAUCCCACGACCAUGAGAUCAGGACCUGAGCCAAAAUCAAGAGUCGGAUGUUUAACUGACCGAGGCACCCAGGCUCUUAACCUAGGGAGCCUCGGACACCCACAGACAGCACACAGGAAGCGUUUAUGAGGUGCGGAUCCAUAUUUUUCAUCAGAUUCUCAAGGUGGGCCAUGGCCUCCAGAAGGCUAAGGUGUGGGCCUGGGGGGAGCCUGCAGUGGCUGGGCUGGUGCAACGGGCAUGAAGGAGCGGCCAGAGCAGAACUAAGGGAGGAUGCAUGUUGCCCACUCACCCAGUUUCAACACCACUCUGAACCGAUGUCCCAACCCCACGGGGGUUACCAGUGUCCUGUUCCCAGAGACAUCGGGUGACAAAUGAUCUGGUCCGAGUCCCAUAUGCUCCUUGCGGUAUUUUUAGACACAUUCUGUUCACUGAGAGAAACUUCAAAUACUGCUGGGUGUCAUGGGCCCGCGACAUGACUGUUCCUUGGGUGGGGUGGAAGGGUGAGAGAGACCCCAGGGACGGGGGCUGGGCUCCCCCGGGCACUCAAGCACAUGAUGAGGGAGCAGCAUUGUGACCUCAGAGGAGAGGGAAGCCAGUGAGCUCAGGUUCUAGGAAUGGACUAGAAACAACCCCUGAUGAAUCACAUACUCAAUCCAAUUUUCCUCUAGACUUCUAGCCACAGGCCUUCCUGAGAAUAAGUAGAAUGGAGAUUCGAGACACUUUUUAUUUAUGUCACAAGGAUGAGCAGAGUACUCACUGCUACCACCAGGCACGGUGAGGGGGAGUCUCACGUAGACGUAGAGUGUGAAGAAGGCACCUCCUAUCUGCGUGUGCAUUACACGAACAAGUAAUCACAAUGAAUGUGACAAGUUCUGUGCCAGAACCAUCAGACAGAGCUGUGGGACCACCUCCGGAGGAAACAGCAGUUACACCUUGGAGAAGGAGAAGCAGUACUAUUGGUGGUGACAUACCGGUUCAAUGGGAUAAACACGUAUCGAGUACCAGGCAUUGUCUUGGGAUGAGGGGAGGAGAUGUCUAGACACACAACGUCUGCUGUCAGGGAGCUCAAAGCCAGGUCCACAGACCUAGAAGCACAGAAAUGACAACCUAUCACAAACAGGCAGUGCAACUUAAAUGGCAGGCUAGCACAACUCUGGGGAUAACAAGGUGUGUGGUGUGUGUGUGUGUGUGUGUGUGUGUCUGCGUAUCUGUGUGUGUCUGUGUCCUGGAGAAAGGGAUGCCUGAGUUAGGUUUUGGAGGGUAAAUAAGAAUUUAUAGGGUUGCAGAUACAAAAAGCAUAGCUACAAAGGCUUUCCAAAGAGAAUCGUAAGUAAUACCACUUAAUAGAAUAUUCACUGGGGGCAAGUACUGUACUAAGUGCUUUGCAGACAUUAUCUCACACAGCAACUCACCACCACCACCCCUGCUUUUUUUUUUUUUUUUAACAUAAUCAUCCUUUCUUGGAUAAGAGAUACACUCAAUCCCCAAAAGGCCUACCAUACUCCAGACAUAUCUAUCUGUCCAUCUCUAUCUAAUUUGUCUAUCUGCUCAUCUUUCUAUCUUUUAUAUAUUUUUAUCUGACUUGAUUUGAUUUGAUUUUGAGAGAAAGAGAGAGCACAUGGGGGAGGGGCAGAGAGAGAGGGAGAGAAUCCCAAGCAGACGCCAUGCUCAAUGUGGAGCCCCCGACCGUCAGAACAUGACCUGAGCUGAAAUCAAGAGCUGGCCACUCAACCAGCUGAUCCACCCAGAUUUUAAUCUCUCUGGCAUCAGGAUGUAUAGUAGACUUUUUGCAAUAUGGCCACUGUCGUUCCUCUCCUUGAAUCCAUGUCCUUGGGUAAUCCUUUCCCACAUGGAUACUUGACUUAGUCAUGUGACUUGCUUCAGCCAAUGGAAUAGUGGCAAACACAAAGCAAGCCAAAGUUUGAAAAGCAGUUGUACGCUGGGGCUUAUCCCCUUUGCAGAGCUUGGAGCCCUGAGGCCACCAUUUUAGGACGGAUGAACUGCUUACUGGAGUGGACAUGUAGAAGAGAACCAAGGGACCCCAGCAAAUAUCCUGACAUCCAAGUGAGUGAGGCCAUUCCUGAGCCAUCCAGCCCAUAUAUCCACCAGCUGACUGGCUGCAAGAGAGAGCUCAGGAGAGACCAGCAGGGGAACUACCUGGUUGAACCAGCCCAAGUGCCAAGCCACAAAAUCAUGAGCUAAUAAAUGAUUGCUUUUUUAAGCCGCUAAAUUUUACAGUGAUUUGCUAUGCAGUAAAAGCUAAGCAGUACACAGUACAUCUUCCAGCUGAUGAUGUCAUAAUUAUAAUGGGAAGCAUGUUUUUUUCUUUCUCCGGGAUACAUAAAAUAAUGGUGCAUCUUACAAUUGAUUGUGACUUAGAUCAGAUGCAAUACAGUAUUACAUGCACUUGGCAGGUAAGAAAGCUAGGGAUCAGAAGGUUUCUUGCCCAAGGUCUAGAACCAGUAAGUUGUGGAAUUUGAAUCCAUGCUGUCCAACUCCAGGCCUUUGCUCUUACCCUGCAAGCACUUCCAUCCACCUGGAUGGGGGAGUGUCUGGAGAGCUGGUUGGUAGGAAAGCAGAGAUAGGUUAUGAAGGACAUCUUAGAAGUUCUUGUAAAGAGUUUGAUUUUGACAACGAAGAGCUAGUUGAACUGGAAGAUUGGAGUACUUAGAAUUUAUUUGACAUUGACUGAAUACAAUACUCAUACCACCUCAAGAAACAGAAAGUCGUGUUGUGGGGCUGCAGGGUAGAGUCUGGAAGGCCUGGAGUUGUCCAACAACUCACCCAGUGGGAAGAGGGGUGUACCCAUGGAAGUUACUGCCUACACAGCUGCGGACUAACUCUCCCUCGUAAAGUUAAUGAAGUCAGUGGAUCAAGUGCACUUGAACAAUAAAAGGGGUGGGGAGAAGGGAGGACUAUGGCUUAAUUAGGGCCACUGGAGACCAUGUGAUAAUCAGUAGUUACAGAGCAACAUCUGUUUGGUGGAAAUAUCUCAGAUUUCCCAGCAAAUCUGAGAUUCAUGGCAUACAGUGCCUGCUCUCUAGGUACUUACAUCUCCUGGGGGAAAUGGAUAUACGCCUAAUGUAGAUGUAACCUCAAAAUAGACUGAGUGACAAGCACCCAGCCACUGAUGCCAACCCCUUCUUUAACCAUCCACUUACCAAGGUCUGGAAUUUAAAGCCCAUUGGCCACCAAUAACUGAUGUGGCUACACUUCAGAUGACCAUGCUCAAAAGCAGUAGAUAUAGAAGAUCAAUAAUUGUCACAACUCUGCAGUUGGCAAUCACAAGUGGGAGAUUUUGAGACAAGGUCAUUGUCAACCUGUCCCUCAGCAUGUCCCAAAAAAGACUUUGACUCUCUUUAGCUUUUCUGGAAGAUUGAUCAAUCAAUUUUAGAGAGCUAUAGAUUUGGAUCUAGCCAGAAUUAGCCACAGAAGUUUAAUCGAGCCAAAAUGGGGCCAAGAAUAACUAAGAAGAGAGACUCAAACUUCUAUUAGGAAUUUUGUUCCACUGCAACAUCCCAUUUGGCUCCUGUUCGGUUGGCUACAGAAGUGUCUGGGAAAAAAGAAGGUGGAAAAGAGGCUUAAGACUGGAUUUCUACCGGGGCACCUGGGUGGCUCAGUCGGUUGAGUGUCCGACUUCAGCUCAGGUCACGAUCUUGCUAUCUGUGAGUUCAAGCCCUGCGUCAGGCUCUGUGCUGACAGCUGAAAGCCUGGAGCCUUCUUGGGAUUCUGUGUCUCCAUCUCUCUCUCUGUGCCUUGCCCGCUCACACUGUCUCUCAAAAAUGAAUAAAUGUUAAAAAAAAUUUUUAAAAAAAGACUGGGUUUCUACCUCUCCCGGAGUCACAAAAUGGAGCCCCCAACUAUGGAGUACAGAACCUUUAUUUAAUGACAAAACUGAGAUCGUGGGCUGUCAGUCCCA